CAAUAGCGUAUAUUAAAGUUGUUGCAGUUAAAAAGCUCGUAGUUGGAUUUGUGGCGUACGGUGUGUUCCGGGCACUUGUUGUCUGAGUAACCUGCUGUUGCCAUCCUUGGGUGGAACCUGUGUGGCAUUAGGUUGUCGUGCAGGGGAUGCCCAUCAUUUACUGUGAAAAAAUUAGAGUGUUCAAAGCAGGCUUAUGCCGUUGAAUAUAUUAGCAUGGAAUAAUGAGAUAGGACUUUUUUGCUAUUUUGUUGGUUUGCGCAAAGAGGUAAUGAUUAAUAGGGACAGUUGGGGGUAUUCGUAUUCCAUUGUCAGAGAUGAAAUUCUUGGAUUUUUGGAAGACGAACUACUGCGAAAGCAUUUACCAAGGAUGUUUUCAUUAA
rnacentral:rRNA from 1 species